CUCCACCCGAGACUCAGUGAAAUUGAACUCGCUGUGAAGAUGCAGUGUACCCGCGGCAAGACGGAAAGACCCCGUGAACCUUUACUAUAGCUUGACACUGAACAUUGAGCCUUGAUGUGUAGGAUAGGUGGGAGGCUUUGAAGUGUGGACGCCAGUCUGCAUGGAGCCGACCUUGAAAUACCACCCUUUAAUGUUUGAUGUUCUAACGUGGACCCGUAAUCCGGGUUGCGGACAGUGUCUGGUGGGUAGUUUGACUGGGGCGGUCUCCUCCUAAAGAGUAACGGAGGAGCACGAAGGUUGGCUAAUCCUGGUCGGACAUCAGGAGGUUAGUGCAAUGGCAUAAGCCAGCUUGACUGCGAGCGUGACGGCGCGAGCAGGUGCGAAAGCAGGUCAUAGUGAUCCGGUGGUUCUGAAUGGAAGGGCCAUCGCUCAACGGAUAAAAGGUACUCCGGGGAUAACAGGCUGAUACCGCCCAAGAGUUCAUAUCGACGGCGGUGUUUGGCACCUCGAUGUCGGCUCAUCACAUCCUGGGGCUGAAGUAGGUCCCAAGGGUAUGGCUGUUCGCCAUUUAAAGUGGUACGCGAGCUGGGUUUAGAACGUCGUGAGACAGUUCGGUCCCUAUCUGCCGUGGGCGCUGGAGAACUGAGGGGGGCUGCUCCUAGUACGAGAGGACCGGAGUGGACGCAUCACUGGUGUUCGGGUUGUCAUGCCAAUGGCACUGCCCGGUAGCUAAAUGCGGAAGAGAUAAGUGCUGAAAGCAUCUAAGCACGAAACUUGCCCCGA
rnacentral:rRNA from 1 species